UUUUCCCGCGUGCUCCCGGGGCUGAAGGACGUUCCCGGGGAAGCCGCUGCUGGCGCGUGGGGUCCCGGUGGCUGUGGGGGACGCGCCGGGAUCUCCGGGAUCCCGCAGCCCGCCGCCGCUGCCGGUGGGGAGCCGGACGCGGGGGGCCUCGGGGCUGAGGUCCGCAGGGGUGCCGCGCCCUGGAGUCCGACUGCCUAGGAGUCCGGGCGUCGCUGCCGGCCGUGGGGGAGGGGCGAGCCUCCCGCCAGGCCCCGCCCCCUCGGCGCCGCGUCCCCACGGCCCCGGCGCCGCCCGCCUGCGCCCGCCUCCUGUGCCCGCCCCCGGUAAUACCGGAAACAAAAGGAGAGGCUGCAAUCGCAAAUUGUUUAAAAAGAAGAAAAAGGAAAGAAAAGUUGAAUCAAAAUAAGUGAAAAAUCCUCGUUCAAGUGUUCUGGCAUUAAGAUUGACUGUCACACUGAAUUCUGUGCCAAUCCUAACAACAUGUGUUCUUUUUCUGGUCUUCACAAGUAAGAAUGUCUUAGGUUUUCCAGAAAUAAAGAUGUCCCAAAAGAAAAAAAAAAAAA
rnacentral:lncRNA from 1 species